rnacentral:rRNA from 1 species
GUCCACGCCGUAAACGAUGAGUACUAGCUGUCGGAGGUUACCCCCUUCGGUGGCGCAGCUAACGCAUUAAGUACUCCGCCUGGGAAGUACGCUCGCAAGAGUGAAACUCAAAAGGAAUUGACGGGGGACCCCGCACAAGUAGCGGAGCAUGUGGUUUAAUUCGAAGCAACGCGAAGAACCUUACCUAAGCUUGACAUCCUUCUGACCUCUCCCUAAUCGGAGAUUUCCCUCGGGGACAGAAGUGACAGGUGGUGCAUGGUUGUCGU